UACGUAGGGGGCAAGCGUUGUCCGGAAUUAUUGGGCGUAAAGCGCGCGCAGGCGGUCUUUUAAGUCUUGUGUAUAAGCCCGAGGCUCAACUUCGGGAGGCAUGGGAAACUGGGAGGCUUGAGUGCAGAAGAGGAGAGUGGAAUUCCACGUGUAGCGGUGAAAUGCGUAGAUAUGUGGAGGAACACCAGUGGCGAAGGCGACUCUCUGGUCUGUAACUGACGCUGAGGCGCGAAAGCGUGGGGAGCAAACAGG
rnacentral:rRNA from 1 species